CCUACGGGAGUCAGCAGUAGGGAAUAUUGGGCAAUGGAGGAAACUCUGACCCAGCAACGCCGCGUGCAGGAUGCCGGUUUUCUGAUUGUAAACUUCUGUCGCGAGGGGUGAAGAAUGACGUUACCUCGUAAGACAGCCCCUGUCAACUACGUGACAGACGCCGCGGUCAUACGUAGGGGCCGAGCGUUGUCAGGAAUGACUGGGCGUAAAGGGAGUGUAGGCGGCAUAUUAAGUUAUGUGGGAAAGCACGCGGCUCAACCGCGGAAUUGCACAUAAAACUGGUAAGCUGGAGUGUAGGAGUGGUAAGUGGAAUUCCCGGUGUAGCGGUGGAAUGCGUAGAGAUCGGGAGGAACACCAGUGGCGAAGGCGACUUACUGGACUGUAACUGACGCUGAGGCUCGAAAGCGUGGGGAGCAAACAGGAUUAGAUACCCUGGUAGUC
rnacentral:rRNA from 1 species